rfam:Trichosporon oleaginosus strain IBC0246 unplaced genomic scaffold CC85scaffold_43, whole genome shotgun sequence.
GCCCUUGUAGUUCAGUGGUAGAAUGUUGCACUUGUAGAGCUUCACGGCUGCAGAUGCAAUGGUCUCGAGUUCAAACCUCGACGGGGGCU